CAGAUUCGCAGUUAAUCUGAGGCAAUUUCCAACUCUAAUCGAUCACUUCGAUUCGAUCAGUGGAAGAGGCAAAAGUGGUCCGUAUUUGUUUCGCGUCGUGGUGUAAUUUAAAAUUUGAUCGUCAAUCAGUAAUUUGUUCGAUCUAAGUUGCGGCAGUGCGUGUUACUAGUUUAGAAAAGGUGCGAGGCAGCGAAGCCAUUUGCCGUUACACCACCAUCCCAUUAGAGACCGCUUUUGACCCCACUCGUCGGCGUCGAGGUAAUCCCGGGGCACACGUGGCCGGAAGAGGGCCGCGUCACGUUCCUUUUACGCGCCCUAGACAGGCAGGCUCAUCCAACCCAUCAGCGUCCAACCGACAGCAGCGAGAACUAUUGUUCGACGAACGGACGCAUGUGCCGCGUUCAAGCGUAAGACCACGCGCCAGGUGAGAGAGUCAUCAACGAUCGACACGUAAAGCCGUCGACAUCGGGCCGGAGUAGUGCGCAAGCAGCUCUGUGUGCUCAGCCGCCGACUCAUCACCAUCCAACCAUCCACGUAAAACCUAGGUAGUGAGUAUUUGCAUGCAUUUUGUACUGUGAACGUCCAUGCGCAUGAGGCAAUAAAUUUCAAGUACAUAAUUGCCUCCGUUAAAUGAUUGGUACAUGAUCAGCGAGUGAAUGAACGGGUAACGCACAAACAACACGCACGAUACACUGUAGGUUGAUGGGGAUUAGAUAGGAUGCGAUAGUGUAGCAAUAUGUUAAAAGGGGGAAGAAGAAAGGCCGAGGCAAAGGAAUAAACGAGAUGUAAUAAAG